GAUGAACGCUGGCGGCGUGCCUAAUACAUGCAAGUCGAGCGAACGGACGAGAAGCUUGCUUUUCUGAUGUUAGCGGCGGACGGGUGAGUAACACGUGGAUAACCUACCUAUAAGACUGGGAUAACUUCGGGAAACCGGAGCUAAUACCGGAUAAUAUUUUGAACCUCAUGGUUCAAAAGUGAAAGACGGUCUUUCUGUCACUUAUAGAUGGAUCCUCGCUGCAUUAUCUAGUUGGUAAGGUAACGGCUUACCAAGGCAACGAUGCAUAGCCGACCUGAGAGGGUGAUCGGCCACACGGGAACUGAGACACGGUCCAGACUCCUACGGGAGGCAGCAGUAGGGAAUAUUCCGCAAUGGGCGAAAGCAUGACGGAGCAACGCCGCGUGAGUGAUGAAGGUCUUCGGAUCGUAAAACUCUGUUAUUAGGGAAGAACAUAUGUGUAAGUAACUGUGCACAUCUUGACGGUACCUAAUCAGAAAGCCACGGCUAACUACGUG
rnacentral:rRNA from 1 species